GCCCACCGCUUGUGCAGCUUGGUUCCCAACAGGCCAUGGACCAAUACCAGGUUGGAGACCCCUGUGCUAAAAUAUUAAGCCCAGCUUUUCUUAACAUUCAUAGGUGAAUUGAAGACUGAAUACCCUUCUUGAAGAUUAUGGCAUAUUCAGCAAUGUGGCCAUCAUUUCUCCCCACCCCAAAUGUGCCAUGGAAUACUUCUGAGAACAAUGCAACAUUAUUACCAAAGUAUUCUUGUCUACAUUUUGAAAGAGUCAAGGUCAAGGCGAUCCUGCAUCUGGAGAAGGAGUGGUCAGAGUGAUGUCUCGAGAUGGGAUGGCGGUUGAUUGGAGCAUGUGAUCGACUGAGGAGUGAGGGGAUGGUUUUGGGAGUUUUGAUUUACUGAGGGAAAACCCGGACUGCUCAGAUUCGGGUUUUCCCAGAUGUAUCAGUUUACCUAUUCUAGUAAAUAGAACUUUGAAAAAUGCUUGCUUCAGAGUCUUUACUUGGAGUUGGGGUUUUUCUGGAAUGCUGACAGUUGGCAGCAAAGCCAUUAAUUUCAGCUGAGCUACCAUUUUAAAUGUUUAAAUGAAAAGACAAGAAUUAUCACCCCACAUUAAAGGGUAAAUACUACCCUGAAUGACUGUGCUUACAUUUCUCGCACAAUAUAUUAUGCAAUGCAAUUAAUAUUCUUUCAGCCUACAUUUGUUUAGGAGAGAAUAAUGCUACCAAGAUAGGGCAAUUUCAUCUGUAUUUAAAAUGAAUACCUGAAACACAAUUCCUGAAACACAAGGAUGAUCCUGUAGAAUAGGACCUCAUAAAUAAUCUCAGAGAAUUAUUAAAAAAAUAAAAUAGAAAGAACCAAAUAUUCCAAUGUUUUCUGAGAACAUGAAAAGUGUAGUGUUCAAAACUAUAUUUAUGAUAAAUCAGAGCCUUUAUGUAUCUCAUAAAAUCCUUCAGCAUUGUCAUUUUCUAUCCUAUACAUUAUUGUAUCAAUAACCGGAAAUAAAUGAAAUCAUAUUUA